rnacentral:rRNA from 1 species
CUACGGGGUGCAGCAGUGAGGAAUAUUGGUCAAUGGUCGAAAGACUGAACCAGCCAUGUCGCGUGAAGGAUGACGGCCCUAUGGGUUGUAAACUUCUUUUGUAUGGGAAGAAAAGCAGUUACGUGUAGCUGUCUGCCGGUACCAUACGAAUAAGGAUCGGCUAACUCCGUGCCAGCAGCCGCGGUAAUACGGAGGAUCCAAGCGUUAUCCGGAUUUAUUGGGUUUAAAGGGUGCGUAGGCGGCUCUAUAAGUCAGUAGUGAAAUCUCGAAGCUCAACUUCGAACGUGCUAUUGAAACUGUAGAGCUUGAGUACAGACGAGGCAGGCGGAAUGUGUUGUGUAGCGGUGAAAUGCUUAGAUAUAACACAGAACACCGAUAGCGAAGGCAGCUUGCCAGACUGUAACUGACGCUGAGGCACGAAAGCGUGGGGAGCGAACAGGAUUAGAUACCCUUGUAGUC